AUCAUUCUCCCCUCUAACGUGCGUACUUGGUUUUUGUGCUAAACUCCCAUUUGUAUGUCGUUUUGCAUGCGCCCUAAUUUGGGUAUUUAUACGUUCACAUUUCACAAUUGCACACUUUUCACUCACGAACACACCUAACUCUCUCUCUCAAUUUUCUUCUCUCUCAAAGGCACUUCUGCAGUUUUUACUCAAGAUCUUCAACCUUCA
rnacentral:lncRNA from 1 species